rnacentral:misc_RNA from 1 species
CAUUUAGAGGAAGGAGAAGUCGUAACAAGGUUUCCGUAGGUGAACCUGCGGAAGGAUCAUUGUCGAUGCCUCACAAGCAGAGCGACCCGUGAAUUUGUUUGACUACCUAGGGGUGGCUUGCGGUGUUUAACGCCUUGGCCCCUCGUGUUGGGAGGCGCCCACCUUGUGUGGUCUCCUCCUGGCCAAACCACAAAACCCCGGCGCCGAAUGCGCCAAGGAACCCGAAAUUGUUCAAUGCACCCCAGUCGACCCGGAGACGGUGCUCGUGGGGGUGCCGUUGCGACAUGUGAAUCCAAAAUGACUCUCGGCAACGGAUAUCUCGGCUCUUGCAUCGAUGAAGAACGUAGCGAAAUGCGAUACUUGGUGUGAAUUGCAGAAUCCCGUGAACCAUCGAGUCUUUGAACGCAAGUUGCGCCCAAAGCCAUUAGGCCGAGGGCACGCCUGCCUGGGUGUCGCACAUCGUUGCCCCAACGCCAGUGCCUCGUGCGAGGCGUUGAGCGGGGUGAAUGCUGGCUUCCCGUGAGCGUUGGCUCGCGGUUGGUUGAAAAUCGAGUCUGCGGUGGAGCGCACCACGAUGGAGGGUGGUUGAGUAAAAAGCUCGAGACCAGUCGUGCGUGUCUCUCUACCUGCUCCGGUACUCUGUGACCCAUGAGCGUCAGUUGAUCGCCCAUAACGGGACCUCAGGUCAGGCGGGGCUACCCGCUGAGUUUAAGCAUAUC